rnacentral:rRNA from 1 species
UACGGGGGGGGUAAGCGUUGUUCGGAAUUACUGGGCGUAAAGGGCUCGUAGGCGGCCAACUAAGUCAGACGUGAAAUCCCUCAGCUUAACUGGGGAACUGCGUCUGAUACUGGAUGGCUUGAAUUCGGGAGAGGAAUGCGGAAUUCCAGGUGUAGCGGUGAAAUGCGUAGAUAUCUGGAGGAACACCGGUGGCGAAGGCGGCAUUCUGGACCGAUAUUGACGCUGAGGAGCGAAAGCCAGGGGAGCAAACGGG